rnacentral:ncRNA from 1 species
CUUGAGAAAGGGCAAACCUUGGGAAACCGAGGGACGCAAAGCUAUGGGUCUAAUGGGGAAACCGAUGACCGCCAGGCCGCCGCA